UUAUGCGAUACUUGGUGUGAAUUGCAGGAUCCCGUGAACCAUCGAGUCUUUGACGCAAGUUGCGCCCGAAGCCAUUAGGCCGAGGGCACGUCUGCCUGGGCGUCACGC
rnacentral:rRNA from 1 species